rnacentral:lncRNA from 10 species
CCUUCUUCCAGAGAUACUCUUUUGUCUCUUGUCUUUUAUUCCCGUGUUCAUCCCCCUUUGUUCAGUCCACCAGGGAUCAUGGCACGUUACAUAGUGGUGCCCCGAACAGCGACAGAAUCAGGGGCUCUACAAGUGGCACUCAAACAGGCGACAGUCUGAACACGGGACUAUGAGGAUGUGAAUGAAGAAGAUCUCCUGGAAUAGAGGAACUGAAAUUGACAACGCAAAUGGGGACCCUGGGAUGAGUCAGCUGGCAGCGCACAUGAGGUCAGCGCCUAAAGAGGGGGAUAUGCAGGGAGCCGAAGGCCCAUGGGACGUGACCAACUCAGCAUUCCACUGGAGGCUAUAUGAUCAAACAGCAAACUGUUUAUCAUGAAUACAGGAUGUGAGCAAACUCACGACUGUGCCUGCCGCCAGAAGGUUUGCUGAGGGCAAUCGCUUCCUGACGCCAAGCUCUUUGAAGUUAUCUACUGGAACAUCUAGAGAAUGCAGUCUUGCAAGCCUACUCUGGACCAACCAACUGACCUCUUCUUCCACCCCCCUUCUCACUAUCGCUUUUCUCUAAUAAAUACAGAGGGCCGUGUAAAGCUCAGGGCCUUGUCCACUAGAGGCAAGGUGCCCCCGGACCCCUUCUUCCAAAUAUACUCUUUUGUCUCUUGUCUUUUAUUCCUGCAUUCACCCCCCUUUGUUCAGUCCACCAGGGAUCAUGGCAGGUUACAUAGUGGCGC